AUCCAUGAUGUCAUACGAUUUGAAAAGCUACCAUUUGUACUAAAAUAUGUGAUUAAUUUUUCAUUCGUCGACAUUAUAUAAUAAAAGUUUUUUUAAUCAAGCCCCAUUACAAUAUAUAUACUCUUUUUUUUCGUAGUCCUUUAUCAGGUAGUUUCUAAUUUGAUGAGCUCAUUGAUUUUCCGUUGUAUUUAUAUCAGUGAAUAUAGAUUACAAGUGUGUGCUAUGAUGAUCAGGUUUACGUAUAGGCAUAGUUGAGCGUUAUCAGGCUCGCCAAUGGAGUCACAUUGAAUGCCAGUGAUUUGUUGAUUUAGGGCUUAAGUGCAAUUUUAAAAAAAUCAAACGUGAUUCAUGCGUUAGCGGAUGCGUCUCAACCUCGGUACAUCGUUAAAUAUCACUUUUAAUUUUUUUUGUUCACUAUAUGGUGCAUAUAUCUGCUUAUUUAAUAAUUUGUUCUUUUGAAAAUUCUGUCUAUUGACUUUAUACUUAUUUAGUUAACUCAAAAUAACAUUAAUGUGUCCUGACUUUGAUUUCCCAAGAUAAAUAUAAAUUUUAACUUUGUCGUAAAAAGCAAACAAAUCAAUCGUGGUUCCUGAUAACCCAUGUUAUCAUUUACAUUGGACUAAUAGAUAAUCUCUGUUUUGCAAGCCACUUUGAAGUUUUGAUUGAACCUAGAAUAUAAUAUUUCAAUUAGUUCUUUAAUUGUUAAUCAGAUUUGAGAUGAAUGUUUAGAAAUUUAACAAAUUAAAAUAAACUUUCUUAAUUUCUUGCAAGGUCAUCAUAUUAAUUUCUUGCAAGGUCAUCAUAUUAAAAUUUUCGUAUAUAGAGAAACGUAAUCUUGAGUUAGCCAAUUGUCAAUCGGCAUUCGAUUUAUAAAACAGUUAGGUGUUUAUGUAACUAGAUCGGAAUGGUUUGGUUGAACUUACAUGUACAAGUAAAAAUGUCGUAUUCAAGAAAAAAAAACUAAGACUUAAAGACUUCUGAGUCAACUUCUCGCGUGCCCCAAAUAUGAAAUGUCAAAUCUCCUAUGGGCUUCUAGAGUCUUCUAUACCCCUAUUUCAUAAUUUUUUUUUUGAUUAUAAUCCAAACUCCCAAAUAAAAUCCUUCCCGGUUAUCAAAACUAAAUCCUAACCCCCCUAUGGAUUAGUGAACCCAUGGGUAAAUAUUUAAAUUCUAUAUUUUUCAAAUUCAGAAAAAAAUAUUUUAAAAUCGUUUUUAAUUAUAUUUUGAUGAUUUUUUCGAAAAUAUGGAAAACAACGUUUUUGGAUUUUUGAAAUAUUUUUAUCAAAUUCUAUAAAUCAAAUAAAAAAUAUUAACGUUUCCAUUUUAAUUUAAUGAUUUUUCGUUUGACAUAUAAAAUUAAAAGAAGAAAAAGGUCCUUUUGAGAUUGUGUUAUGAGAUAUAGGGGUAUGAGAGGAUUUGUCUCACUUCUACGUAAGGCAUCCGAUCUUUGGAGUUAAAACUCAUGAAAUUUAAUACUAAAUUUUGUGUAACUAAAAAGAAACUUAAUAUCAAUACUUUUGAAUUUAGUUUGAUUUCGAUUGACAAUAGAGUAACACAAACAGUGGAGACAAAAUUCACAAUCAUAUUAUAAAAAUAAUAAUUAGUUCCAAUAUUAAUGCGCUUUUGUAAUUCCACAAUUUUUGUUGCUAAGAAUUCUUUUUUUUUUUUGGGUUCUAUAAUCAAACAAAGGGACAAUGAGUUUCCUUUUCCGUGACAGUGUGAAUCUAAAAUGACUAGCGGGUCCCACUUUGUUUGAGAAUAUUCUUCCCUCUUCAAUCUAGAUCGAGAUUCCUUGGUCGAUAACGUAUGUUACACUUGGACAGAUCAUCUCUUCAAGAAACAUUUCAAAAAAAAUUUGACAAAGAAAAGUCAUCGAUUUUUUUGUUCACCAAAAGUCAUUGAUUUUCUCUGGUGGAAGUUAAUUAACUUAAUCAUUCAAUGACGUAUAACCAGAUAAUUUAAUCAUUUUUUGUUAGUUUGUUUGUCGAAGAAACCUUGAGGAGUACAAUAGCAAAAUCAUAUUUGUGAUUUAAAUAUUACGAUAUAUCAUUUGAUCACAAACAAAUUACGAUCAAUGUUAUAACUAUAAAUUCAUUACAUACAAUAGUUUUUCCCAGUUCACAUAAAAAAUUAUUGCUAUCUACAUCAAUUAUACACACUUAAACAUAUAUUUACACAAUACUAAUAUAUAAUUAACUACAUUUAUAUGUUUAAUAUGAUAAUAUACGUUAACUAAUAUGAGUUAUGUAUCUAAACACUAUAACCAUGUUUUCUAAUAUCAUAGGUAAAUAACCCGUGCAACUCAUUUUAUAAAAAAAAAUGCAACAUUAAUUGGAUAUUGUAAUAAAUAUAUGUUGACUUAUGUUGUAUGAAAUUUCUCAUUUAUAAUAUUAUUUUUGAAUUUCCAGGUGAGUUUUAUAUAACUCAAACACAAUAAUUUAAUAAAAUCAACAAUAAAUUAUGGUUUUACUUUUUUUUUUGAAAUUAUUAAUCGCUUUUAUUGGAUCUUUAAAUUGUAAUUAGGAUAAUGUGGUAUUGAGAUAUAAAUGCUCUAGAACUCUGUAGGUUUCUCAAUGAAAAUUUCUAAAUUUAGGCUAAAAUCAAAAAUAACAAAUAGAGUUAUGGGUCCGGUCCGCCGUCUAUAAUUUAUUCUAUUCUAUUUUCUUCUCCUCCCUGCAUUCUGCCUUGAUUAUAGAGUUGAAAUCGCCAUUUUCGUUUUCUAGAAAAUUUCUACCAUUUCAGUUUGUUGAAAUUUCUCCCACUGAAUUCCAACUCGAAGUAAAACAGGCAUGCAUCAUUAUAUGUGUUUUUAAAAAUAUAUAUAUUUGAAAAUCAUUUAACAAUGAAUUUCUUCAAUUUUUAGUCUAGUGAUUUGUCAAUGUCCACAAUUUCUUAUAUAUAUGAAUAAUGAUUGCAAUUGUUGAUAACCAAACACUGUAAUGUUUAGCUAAGGGUUAUAAUGGUUAACAUCAAAAGUUACAAUGAUUUAACCAAUGGAAAUUUUGGGACGAAAAUAUAUAUUUAGACAUUUAGGUAACUUUUAAUCUCAUGCAAUCCUCAGGAUCAAAAACAAAUUGCUAGGAGGAAAAACACUUCUUUAGACAUUUUGACAAGCAUUUUUAAACCAAUGUAAUCCUUAAAAUGAAAAGACACAAUGUUAAAAUGUUUUUUUUUUUUGAAAAGGCACAAUGUUAAAAUGUUAAGAACAUAGUUAAAAUCAAUGUAAUUUUUAAGAUGAAAAACACAUUGUUAAGAUGAAAAGUUACACCUUUGAUAUUUAUGUGGAUACAUCUAGACAUUUUGAUAACUUCUUUUAACAAAUGAAAAUUUUAAGAUGAAAAGACACAUCCUUAUACAUUUUAAAUACUUCUUUUAAACCAAUAUAAUUCCUAUAGUGAAAAGACACAAUGUUUAGAUGAAAAUAUACAUAGCCAUAUAUUUGACAACAAUUUUUAAAUCAAUGCAAUUUUAAGAUGAAAAGACACAUUGUUAGGAUGAAAAGUUACAACCUUUGACAUUUAGUUGAAUACAUCUUUAGACAUUUUGAUAACUUCUUUUAACAAAUUCAAUCUUUAGGAUGAAGAGACACAUCCUCAUACAUUUUCUUGUAAACCCAUGCAAUGGGUAGGAUAGGAUGAAAACACAUAUAUUUAGACAUUUUGAUAAACUUUUUUAAACUAAUUCAAUUUUGAGGAUUAAAAGAUAAAUUCUUAAAAUGAAAAGGUAUAACUUAUACAUUUUGACAACUUCUUUUAAACCAGUGCAAUUAUUAAGAUGAAAAUACAUAAUGUGAAAAUGAAUGUUACAUUUAGACAUUUUUAAUAUCAGUUUUUAAACUAUGAAAUUUUAGGAUGAAAAGAUAUAUUGUUAUAAGAUGAAAAGAUACAUACUUAUACAUUUCAAAACUUAUUUAAAACUGAUGCAACGCUUAAGAUGAAAUGACACAACACAAUAUUAGAAUUAAAAGUUACAUUUUAGACAUUUAAAUAAAUUUUUAAAACCAAUACAAUUUUUAUGAUGAAAAAUAUUUCUUUAUAUCAAUAUAACAGAUUUAUCAGAAAAAAUAAAGAUACAUAUUUUUAUUUUGAUAAUUAUUUUAAAACAAUAUCUAUACUAUAUUAAAAAGGAUAUAUGAGCUCCAUUGAGCCUAUCCACCUCAGCAUAAAAAAUCAACCAAUCAUAUGUCUCUAUUAUGUCAUGUCAUCACUCCACACUAGCAAUUGGGUUGAAUUAUAUGGGCUCUUCAGUUUUGGUUAUGGCCCAAAGCCUACCUUUCUCCUUCGUCUCUACACGCGGCUCCGAUUCUUCUUCUCUAUGGCGAUCGUUUCCACUCUCCUCAGCUCUCCGUUACUUUGUAAUAAUCAACACCGACUCUGAAUGAUUGAUCCAUGAUCCAUGUUUUAUUAAAUUCCAAGUCUGAUGGGCUUCGUUUCUAAUAUGACCUUAUAUUUUCAGAAUUGGCCAGUUUUGAUAUUAGGGUUAACCAAUUUUCAUCUCCGUCGUUGUUAUUGAUUGAGUCACAGCGUGAGUUUUGUUUACGUUCUUUCGUCUUCUUCCCAACAGUCCUAGGAGCUACCAGUUACAGAUCCAUCCUCUUUAAUUUCUUCUUAAAUCUUUCUUCCACGAUUCACCAUGAAUAAGAGAGCUUUAGUCAUCCAAAGCGGUGGAAUCUAUUUUUAAAAAUACCAGAUGAUGGUCCUCCACCGUUCAUGUGAGGGUGCUCUGUUUCUCGGAGGCCAGAAACGUCCGAUGCGGUGGCAAAUUCAUAGGAGUGGAUAUUCUGCUUCUGGAUUCACAGAUCUGCUCUCUGUAUCAUUUUCAUUGCAGUGGAAGCGGCCGAUGUGUUAUUGAAGAAUGUUAAACUUCGACGCGUAUAUCGUAUUCAAGUGUACCAAGCAUAAUAUUGGUACGGUGCAAAUACAGCAUAGGCGACAAACAGACAAACGCAUGGCUUGGAGCAGCAGGGCAUGCUCUUAGAACGGAGUGGACAUUUUUCAAGAUCAGACAAGCUCUCCCAAAUAGUGUGUUUAACUGAUGUCUAAAACCGCAAUUAAAACGGCAGCCUCAUAAAAGAAAAAGGGGAAUAGAGCUAUUUUUUAAUCAACAGAGAAAAAUAGUUAUAAGUGGAUGUUGUGUUGUUUGUACAUCAGUUUCAUUGCCUUGGUGCAAAAGCAAUACCAAUUAAAAAAAUUAGGGUUUUGGUUAUUGUUGUUGGGGCAUGUGUUUAGGCUUCUUUUAUAAUCAAUAGAUUUUUGCAAACAUAGAUACAAUUUUUAAUAUUGGGUAUGCUUGGUCAGUGAGAAUGAUCAUUUUGUUGUA